rnacentral:rRNA from 1 species
AGAGUUUGAUCCUGGCUCAGGAUGAACGCUAGCGACAGGCCUAACACAUGCAAGUCGAGGGGCAGCGAAGAGGUAGCAAUACCUCUGUCGGCGACCGGCGCACGGGUGAGUAACACGUAUGCAAUCCACCUGUAACAGGGGGAUAACCCGGAGAAAUCCGGACUAAUACCCCAUAAUAUGGGCGCUCCGCAUGGAGAGCCCAUUAAAGAGAGCAAUUUUGGUUACAGACGAGCAUGCGCUCCAUUAGCCAGUUGGCGGGGUAACGGCCCACCAAAGCGACGAUGGAUAGGGGUUCUGAGAGGAAGGUCCCCCACAUUGGAACUGAGACACGGUCCAAACUCCUACGGGAGGCAGCAGUGAGGAAUAUUGGUCAAUGGACGAGAGUCUGAACCAGCCAAGUAGCGUGAAGGAUGAAGGUCCUACGGAUUGUAAACUUCUUUUAUAAGGGAAUAAACCCUCCCACGUGUGGGAGCUUGUAUGUACCUUAUGAAUAAGCAUCGGCUAACUCCGUGCCAGCAGCCGCGGUAAUACGGAGGAUGCGAGCGUUAUCCGGAUUUAUUGGGUUUAAAGGGUGCGUAGGCGGCACGCCAAGUCAGCGGUGAAAUUUCCGGGCUCAACCCGGACUGUGCCGUUGAAACUGGCGAGCUAGAGUGCACAAGAGGCAGGCGGAAUGCGUGGUGUAGCGGUGAAAUGCAUAGAUAUCACGCAGAACCCCGAUUGCGAAGGCAGCCUGCUAGGGUGCGACAGACGCUGAGGCACGAAAGCGUGGGUAUCGAACAGGAUUAGAUACCCUGGUAGUCCACGCAGUAAACGAUGAAUACUAACUGUUUGCGAUACAAUGUAAGCGGUACAGCGAAAGCGUUAAGUAUUCCACCUGGGGAGUACGCCGGCAACGGUGAAACUCAAAGGAAUUGACGGGGGCCCG